rnacentral:rRNA from 1 species
GUGUAUAAGAGACAGGGAUAGGUGCGAGGUUUUGAAGUGUGGACGCCAGUCUGCAUGGAGCCGACCUUGAAAUACCACCCUUUAAUGUUUGAUGUUCUAACGUUGGCCCGUAAUCCGGGUCGCGGACAGUGUCUGGUGGGUAGUUUGACUGGGGCGGUCUCCUCCUAAAGAGUAACGGAGGAGCAGGAAGGUUGGCUAAUCCUGGUCGGACAUCAGGAGGGUAGUGCAAUGGCAUA